CCUACGGGGGUGCAGCAGUGAGGAAGAUUGGGCAAUGGACGGAAGGCUGAACCAGCCAUGCCGCGUGCAGGAAGACGGCUCGAUGAGUUGGAAACUGCUUUUGGACAAGGGGAAACCUGAAGACGUGGAUUCAGCUGAAAGUACUGUACGAAUAAGGAACGGCUAACUCCGUGCCAGCAGCCGCGGUAAUACGGAGGAUCCAAGCGUUAUCCGGAUUUAUGGGGUUUAAAGGGUGCGUAGGCGGAUUGAUAAGUUAGAGGUGAAAUGUCCGAGCUUAACUCGGGAACUGCCUCUCAUACUGUUGAUCUAGAGAGUAGAUGCGGUAGGCGGAAUGUCUGGUGUAGCGGU
rnacentral:rRNA from 1 species